rnacentral:tRNA from 3 species
GCCGAUGUAGCUCAGAUGGUGGAGCAGCGCCAUGGUAAGGCGCAGGCCGUCGGUUCGAGUCCGACCAUCGGCUCCA